UCAGACGUGAGUACCUGCUGAACUUAAGCAUAUCAGUAAGCAGAGGAAAAGAAACUAACAAGGAUUCCCUUAGUAACGGCGAGUGAAA
rnacentral:rRNA from 1 species